AACGAACGCUGGCGGCAUGCCUAACACAUGCAAGUCGAACGAGACCUUCGGGUCUAGUGGCGCACGGGUGCGUAACGCGUGGGAACCUGCCCUUAGGUUCGGAAUAACUCCCCGAAAGGGGUGCUAAUACCGGAUAAUGUCUUCGGACCAAAGAUUUAUCGCCUUUGGAUGGGCCCGCGUUGGAUUAGCUAGUUGGUAGGGUAAAAGCCUGCCAAGGCGACGAUCCAUAGCUGGUCUGAGAGGAUGAUCAGCCACACUGGGACUGAGACACGGCCCAGACUCCUACGGGAGGCAGCAGUGGGGAAUAUUGGACAAUGGGCAAAAGCCUGAUCCAGCAAUGCCGCGUGAGUGAUGAAGGCCUUAGGGUUGUAAAGCUCUUUUACCCGGGAUGAUAAUGACAGUACCGGGAGAAUAAGCUCCGGCUAACUCCGUG
rnacentral:rRNA from 1 species